rnacentral:rRNA from 1 species
GAUGAACGCUGGCGGCGUGCCUAAUACAUGCAAGUCGAGCGAACAGAUGAGGAGCUUGCUCCUCUGACGUUAGCGGCGGACGGGUGAGUAACACGUGGAUAACCUACCUAUAAGACUGGGAUAACUUCGGGAAACCGGAGCUAAUACCGGAUAACAUUUUGAACCGCAUGGUUCUAUAGUGAAAGAUGGUUUUGCUGUCACUUAUAGAUGGACCCGCGCCGCAUUAGCUAGUUGGUAAGGUAACGGCUUACCAAGGCAACGAUACGUAGCCGACCUGAGAGGGUGAUCGGCCACACUGGAACUGAGACACGGUCCAGAAUCCUACGGGGGGCAGCAGUAGGGAAUCUUCCGCAAUGGGCGGAAGCCUGACGGAGCAACGCCGCGUGAGUGAUGAAGGUCUUCGGAUCGUAAAACUCUGUUAUUAGGGAAGAACAAAUGUGUAAGUAACUAUGCACGUCUUGACGGUACCUAAUCAGAAAGCCACGGCUAACUACGUG